UGGAUAGUAAAAAAUAUUGGAAGGAGAAGAGUUUGUAUGGAAUUGGUGUGGAAAGUAGAAAAUAUGAGUAGAGAGUAAAAAAUAUUGGAAGGAGAUGAGUUUGUAUGGAGAAUUGGUGUGGAAAAUGAAUAAUGUGAGUGGAGAGUAGAAAAUAUUGUAUGGAGAAGAAAUUGUAUGAAGAUUUAGUGUUGAAAGUAGAUAAAAUGGUUAGGUAUUUAUAGGGAAAAAAUACAUACUUUUUUUUUUAUUUUUUUUAAAAAAAAUUCAGAAUUUUUUCGGAUAUUUUAGGAUUUUUUUUAAAUUUUUU
rnacentral:lncRNA from 1 species